rnacentral:tRNA from 1 species
AAGGCUUUAUGUUAAUUAAACAAAUAGCCUUCAAAGCUGUAAAUAUAAGUUUACUCUUUUAAGCCUUA